rnacentral:rRNA from 1 species
UACAUAGGGGGCGAGCGUUGUUCGGAAUUACUGGGCGUAAAGGGCGCGUAGGCGGCCUGCUAAGUCAUACGUGAAAUCCCUCGGCUCAACCGGGGAACUGCGUGUGAUACUGGCGGGCUUGAAUUCGGGAGAGGGAUGCGGAAUUCCAGGUGUAGCGGUGAAAUGCGUAGAUAUCUGGAGGAACACCGGUGGCGAAGGCGGCAUCCUGGACCGAUAUUGACGCUGAUGCGCGAAAGCCAGGGGAGCAAACGGG